UGCUUUUGUGGGGUGGGUUCAUAAAAGCCAAUCGGUACAUAAGCAAUAUAGACGUCUUUUCCAUGGGGAGAAAGACUCGCCCAGACCUCUUCUGAGGUAGAUUGAAGUGACAAUCACAGCCGAGGACAUGUGGUCGAGGAGUGGAAAAAGCGAUCCUGAAACAGUCCUAGCACCAAUUUCAGACUUCAACAGAAGCAUCCAUCUGACUACUUUGUUAAAGGACAAAUCCUUGAGAGAAUCUUAUGCAACCGCCCAGACGGACGGUCAGCUACCUGCCAACCGAGCGCGAGUCCUGAUCCUCGGCGAACCUCGUGCCGGCAAGACCAGCUUACUAAACCGGCUCCUGGACAGAGAGUUUGACGUUCGGGAACAGCCGACCGAGGGGAUUGACACGCGCAUGUGUCAAGUGACUAACGUGGACAAGCAGUGGAAAGAGACAGGUGGUGCCAAGUCAGACGAUAUACAACACUGUGCCUCCUUGGUGACCGUGCUUGGAGAGGUUUCGUCGGCUUAUGGAACAACAGAAUCGAAAGAAGUGGGAGGAAAUAACAAGGACACCCCCACAAAACCACGCACACAACUUGACUUAUUAAAACUAGGAUUGGAACUGUUUUGCUUGUUCCUUGUUGUGUUUGUAUUUGAGGUAUUCCAGUAUGGUUACGUGGCAUUUGUGUGGUGUACUUUCGUUGCACUUUCAUUGAUGAACAACUACAACUUUGCCUAUCGGUUUGCAACAUACGUCUCCUUGUUUUGUGUUCUCUUUGACGCAGUGCUUCGACGUGAGAGAUUGUUGGAAGAAUCGAGCGGUGAGGAGUGUGCAGACGAUCUUCAAAACCGGACAAUUUGGCCUGCUCUUGGGAACAUGAUGUUCGACUCGGUUAAUUACGUUAUACUGGGUGCAGCCACCGGUUUCGGUUGCCGUACGGGCGUCGCAGUUGCUUUCUCAGCGAGUGUUCAUCCUGCAGAGACUGAGGCUACAAGGGGAGUCGAAGGUGGGAAAUGGGACAGGUUGGUGCUGACUUUGAUAUCAGGUGCAGGAGCACUCCUGGGUGUUGGGUUCUAUAUAUUUUGUACAUUCAGUGACCGGUGGCAUAAGUAUAGAGCUGCCCUUUGCUGUGGUUUGUUGGCGUUAAUUCUGGCACUAAGCUCUGAAGGAGAUUGCAGACACAGACGCUUUUGGUUCCUCUUUCUGAAUGGUAUCGUGGUAUCAGCUCAAUCAACAUGGGGAACUAUUCUCGGCCGGAGGGUUUCCCAUAAGUAUGGACUCAGAGCCAGUUACGUGUCAAAGAAAGUUGCAGGUCUCAUCUUCGGCCUAUACCUGUCAUACGUCUGUGGUUGGACGAUGCGAAUACCUGGCCGUAGUUUGUCGUGCGUGGCACUCUACAUACUUUCUGUCCUCUCGCUACCCUUGUUUGAUCUUCACAACACCUUCAAGAUCUGGCGAGCAAAGUCAACCUUCCCCGUGAAGCUUAUCCGUGAGCAGAUGAAAUCUGUCCUUCAAGGAAAGCCGGUCUUAGAAACCAAACUGAGUCUGUGGGACUUUGCUGGGGACACACUGUACCACUGUACGCAUCACAUCUUCAUGCCUGACAGAGCUCUGUAUGUGAUCGUCUUCAACCUCCAGGCCGCUGUUUCUGACGAGGAAGGACAGCUACAGAAACUUCUCUUUUGGUUACAUUCAGUCUGUGCGCAUGCGCGUCACCCAGACGCUGUUGUCAUCAUUGUCGGCACCCACAAAGAGAGCGUUUCUGAGGCAAGCAGGACGCGUAUCACUAAUGAACUUCACCGUAGAAUUGCUUCUCCAUUUUGCCACCGACUUGUUGUGAACUCACUGAACGACAAACCGUUGUUCCUUGUAGAGAAUUCGCAACCUGUUGACGAAGAUUUCAAGCAGUUACGAGGCGAAAUUUUCAGACGAGUUGAGAGUGCCGAGUACGCCCAGGAAAAAUAUCCCAUUAAGUACCUGCACUUUUAUCGCGAGAUUCAGAAACACCGAAAACGGGCAGAGAAGGAUUGUGCAGCUAACGUGGUGACCGUGGACCAAAUAGGAGACCUUGCCAUGAAUACCUGCGAUAUUACGAAAGACGACGACUUGGAGAGUAUGCUGAAAUUUUUCUGCGAAGCUGGAGAAAUCAUCCACAAAAAUAACGACAACGUCUUGCAUGAUUAUGUUGUCUUGGAUCCUCAGUUCCUAGUUGAUGUCAUGAAGAAACUUGUACACAUUCCACGUGCUUCUAGAAGAUCGCAUCGCUUUGCUGUUGAUUGGAUAAAUUAUGAAAACAGUGGAAUCAUCACUGAAGGUCUCCUGCAACAUAUUUACGGCGACAUGUGCCAUCUUGUGCCACUCCUGACCAAGCUUCUUCAGGCCUAUGACCUCAUGUGUCCCGUGACGCCUGAUUUAAAUCCUGACAGCUCGCAGAAGUCCUUUUUAGUACCAGCUAUGCUGCCUCCUUAUCGGGGUGAGCCGACAGAGUUCUGGAAGCCAACGAAAAAAGAUGAGGUCUUUUAUUUUGAUUUUGGCUUCUUUGAUCCCAGCACUGUCUACUACCGUUUGCUGACCCGCUGUGUGGUGAAAGCAAGCCAGGACAACACAAAGUUUGGCUCUUUGCCAAUGAGUUUUGCAGACAGAAGCCGCUUCUACUUUGGGUCAAGUUGCAUCUUCAAGCUUCAGUUGGAAAAGUCCUCCCAUCAGAUGCUUCUGUCAGUGACUGUCUUGGCAUUCGAGCCGGAAAAUCCGAGCACCAACCUUCUUAAGGACCUCUUGGAGUUCAUCAGGAGCAUUACCGCCCGAGACUACCCCCAGCUGUCCUUUAUAUUCGGUCCUCGCUGUCCUUACUGCGGGCCUGAACUCGAUUUUGGCACCUCGAACGAAGACAUCUUUGGAGGCAAAUGUGGAAACAGUACUUUGGAUGGGGCAAAAAUCCACGUCCUAAAGAUGGCUGGGCACGAUCUGCCUUUCCCAACUGUGUCACCGGUACCUCUAUUCUGCGGACAACACAGAUACGAAUUGAGGCUACCUGAGUGUAAACCAAGUGAUGCAAGCCAUGGUCGCACCACUCGUCCCCGACGGGUGUCAUUUGGCCCAGGGACCGUCAUCACCAAACUACCACCCGACAUCUUUGAAAGGGUGUGCUUACUUCUGAACAACGCAGCAAUGAUCAGAAACUGGAAAACUCUGGCAGGCGAGUUGGGUAAAGACGUGGAAUCUGUAGUGGCAUUGGACAGCGAGAAGGUCAGCAAUCCAACUGAGUGUCUGCUGCGAGAGUGGGCUGCGAUUGGUGGUGAAGUGACGGUGGGCGACUUGCUAGAAGUACUUGGUAGACCAUCGCUUGAGCGGAUGGAUAUCAUACACGAAAUACGCACCCAAAUGACAUCAGAAUAAGGAUGGCACGUGGAGCUGCUUCUGAGAUGCUUUCUCACCAGACAGACACAGUUGCCAACUUCAACAAUUUGUGCAGUUUACUAGCACAUUUAAGCUUAUCAGUGUAUUUUAGAUUUUAAGCUGUUUAAAUACACAGAUAUCACAUUUUUCCUAUUAGGUCAACUCCCUGAAAAGGCCAUCUGUUAUUUGCCAUGUUAGUGCAUAAUACGGUAAAACGUACUAAUUAACACGGUGAUCGGGAUAAUGACAUUACAGAGGUAACAGCAACGUUUUUAAAGAUGGUAAGGAAAACUGAUUACUACUCAUAAACAUUUGGCCAAAAGUGGCCGUUUUUCUGAAAUUUUGAAGCAAUUGGUAUCGACAAAAUACAGUGUAGAAUUUACUAAUGAGCGUUAAAUCGUGAUCUCUCCUUUACUAAUAAUCCUCGUUUUGCUUGUGUCUGAAGAAUAAAUUAUAUAAUUCUGAUAUAUCUGUCAUCGGCAAGGUGAGAAACAAUUGAACACAUCCAUUUUUUACUGCUGGAUCCACUUGAGUAGUUUAAGUCAGUGCUUUCCCCCUAAAUCUCCUUUUGACUCCAUAUUGACUCUUACCUUUAGUCUCAACUUAGGCCGAUUGUGUAAUUCGACCUCCAGAAUCAGAAGCCAUUACUGCAGGGGCACAAUGCUCUUGCGUUACAUGCCUCUUGGUCCAACAGGGUGUCGUGAUUUGCCAAAUGCACGUGCGCAUCAAGCUGAAGAAUGUGCGUGUGAGUGCGCUACCAUCAUUGAUCUCCAUUAUAGACUAAAUAGGACAUCGAGCAUUGUUUGCGCACAAAAUGCGCGGCCGAACAAUGGCGGCGCUUCAGGAGGGUAAUGUGAUGCUGUAUGCUGUGCA
rnacentral:misc_RNA from 1 species